UGCCGGUCCUCUCGCAAUGGGCAGCUGUGAACUCCGCCAGGCCCGGAAGGGAGCAACGGUAGCAGUGCGCACAUGUGCCGAGAUGUGGCUGGCGGGU
rnacentral:SRP_RNA from 1 species